rnacentral:lncRNA from 1 species
UAUGUAUGCAGUUUUAUAGUGAACCCAGUCUUUGUGACAGCAUUUCUGCAAGUUUCUCAAUUCUGCAUCUUUGCUUCACUGUCUUUGAAUAUCAGUGACCUGCCAUGGGAGGAAGGCCAGAGAUGCUUGCUGCGCAGCAGUGGUUCAGAAGUGUUUUAAUGAACUAAGAAGGACUGAUUUUCCAUCUGGCCUAACCAGAGUCUGAAGUUGCUGAAUCAAACAGAGCCAAUAGGUCGGACUUGAGCUGACUGGAGCAUGCACAGAGCUGGGAAGCACAACUUACCCUGUAUUUCAUGCAAUACAAAGGAAGAUGGCUGUUUGGGGUUGCCGUGUCUCUUAGCAAUUAAGGAGAUGGCUACAGCCAAGCAGUGUGAAGUGACAGCACCAGAAAGUUUUCUACACCAGAGGCUGAGAACAGGGGCUGUGCAGUCAUAUUCAAUAUUGAGUCCCCAACCCUAACCCGGACCUGGCACAUACAAGACAUUCAGCAGAUGGCUAUUGAAUGAAAAUAUAUAAAUGAAUCAACGAUUACCAGCUGCCUCCACUCCCUUAACCUGCUACAGAAUUAAUAAACUAAUCUUGAGCAUAGUGGAUAUAUAAAAAUAAAAGUAUCGUUGAGGACUGUCAGGCCAGCCUCUCUGUA